UACGUAGGAGGCGAGCGUUGUCCGGAUUUAUUGGGCGUAAAGAGCUCGUAGGCGGUCUGUCACGUCGGGAGUGAAAACACGGGGCUUAACCCCGUGCCUGCUUCCGAUACGGGCAGACUAGAGGUAUGCAGGGGAGAACGGAAUUCCUGGUGUAGCGGUGAAAUGCGCAGAUAUCAGGAGGAACACCGGUGGCGAAGGCGGUUCUCUGGGCAUUACCUGACGCUGAGGAGCGAAAGUGUGGGGAGCGAACAGG
rnacentral:rRNA from 1 species